CCUACGGGGCGCAGCAGUGGGGAAUAUUGGACAAUGGGCGAAAGCCUGAUCCAGCCAUGCCGCGUGUGUGAAGAAGGCCUUCGGGUUGUAAAGCACUUUCAGUGGGGAAGAAAGCCUUGGGGCUAAUACCCUCGAGGAAGGACAUCACCCACAGAAGAAGCACCGGCUAACUCCGUGCCAGCAGCCGCGGUAAUACGGAGGGUGCGAGCGUUAAUCGGAAUUACUGGGCGUAAAGCGCGCGUAGGCGGUCUGAUAAGCCGGUUGUGAAAGCCCCGGGCUCAACCUGGGAACGGCAUCCGGAACUGUCAGGCUAGAGUGCAGGAGAGGAAGGUAGAAUUCCCGGUGUAGCGGUGAAAUGCGUAGCGAUCGGGAGGAAUACCAGUGGCGAAGGCGGCCUUCUGGACUGACACUGACGCUGAGGUGCGAAAGCGUGGGUAGCAAACAGGAUUAGAUACCCUAGUAGUC
rnacentral:rRNA from 1 species